rnacentral:rRNA from 1 species
AACGGCGGCCGUAACUAUAACGGUCCUAAGGUAGCGAAAUUCCUUGUCAGGUAAGUUCUGACCCGCACGAAAGGCGUAAUGAUUUGGGCACUGUCUCAACAGCCCGCCCGGCGAAAUUGUAGUACCGGUGAAGAUGCCGGUUACCCGCGACAAGACGGAAAGACCCCAUGGAGCUUUACUGUAGCCUAAUAUUGGGUUUCGAUGUUGCAUGCACAGGAUAGAUGGGACACUGGGAAACAAUCGCUUUGGCGGUUGCGGAGUGGCCGUUGGGAUACCAUCCUUGCGAUAUUGGAAUUCUAACCUGCGCCUUUGAAUCAAGGCGGGGGACAUUGUUAGGUGGGCAGUUUGACUGGGGCGGUCGCCUCCUAAAGAGUAACGGAGGCGUUCAAAGGUUCGCUCAGCUUGAACGGAAAUCAAGCAAAAGAGUGCAAACGCAGAAGCGAGCCUAACUGCGAGACUGACGGGUCGAGCAGUAACGAAAGUUGGAGUUAGUGAUCCGGUGGUAUGUGAGUGGAAAUGCCAUCGCUCAACGGAUAAAAGCUACCCUGGGGAUAACAGGCUGAUCUCCCCCAAGAGUCCACAUCGACGGGGAGGUUUGGCACCUCGAUGUCGGCUCAUCGCAUCCUGGGGCUGUAUUCGGUCCCAAGGGUUUGGCUGUUCGCCAAUUAAAGCGGUACGCGAGCUGGGUUCAGAACGUCGUGAGACAGUUCGGUCCCUAUCUGUCGUGGGCGCAGGAUAUUUGAUGGGAGCUGUUCCUAGUACGAGAGGACCGGAGCGGACGUACCUCUGGCGCACCAGUUGUUCUGCCAAGAGCAUAGCUGGGCAACUAUGUACGGAUCGGAUAAACGCUGAAAGCAUCUAAGCGUGAAGCCGACCCAAAGAUAAGAUAUCCCAUUGUUUCAAACAAGUAAGACCCCUUGAAGACUACAAGGUUGAUAGGCACGAUGUGUAAGUGGAGUGAUCCAUUCAGCAAGCGUGUACUAAUAGAUCGAGGGCUUGACCAC